rnacentral:rRNA from 1 species
CGCCGCGUGCGGGAUGACGCUUUUCGGAGUGUAAACCGCUGUUCGUGGGGACGAAGCACUGACGGUACCCACGGAGGAAGGCCCGGCUAACUACGUGCCAGCAGCCGCGGUAAUACGUAGGGGUCGAGCGUUGUCCGGAGUUACUGGGCGUAAAGCGCGUGCAGGUGGCUCAUUACGCCCGGCGUGAAAGCCCCCGGCCUAACCGGGGAGGGUCGUCAGGGACGGGUGAGCUUGAGGGUCGCAGGGGCUGGUGGAAUUCCCGGUGUAGUGGUGAAAUGCGUAGAGAUCGGGAGGAACACCCGUGGCGAAGGCGGCCAGCUGGGCGAGCCCUGACACUGAGACGCGAAGGCGUGGGGAGCGAACGGGAUUAGAUACCCCGGUAGUCCACGCAGUAAACGAUGCCGACUAGGCGUGGGGGGACUUGACCCCUUCCGUGCCGAAGCUAACGCAUGAAGUCGGCCGCCUGGGGAGUACGGCCGCAAGGCUAAAACUCAAAGGAAUUGACGG